UUCGUAACAAGUGGUCUUACCUUUUGCUUGCAGAUAUCGAAGUGGAUGUCGCAGUAUGGCACUGUUGCCGCACAGACGCUGUGCAUCAAUAGAUUUAACACUGCUGCGUAUGUUCUUGGAAGCGAAAGCCCGUGCCAGGUCUUCGAGUGUUCUUCCGUUAUACGAUCACAUUGUUUUAGUAGGUAUUGGACGUGUGCUUGAAACAAAUGGAUAUUAUCUGCCAGUUUAUGACGUGUAAUUCGUAUAAUUAAACGUAUUAAUUCAGUUAUUGAAUAUUUCCUGAAGUCUGCUCCUAAAGUUCACAUUUCCGCAGCAACCCUGAGACGUAUUUUAUAAAAAAUAUUACCUUAGAGUCGACGUAACGUAACGUGAUGAGCGUGUGUUCGGCGACGGCAGCGGCGUCGUCAUGUCCGGUGCGGCGGCAGUCUCGGAGCUCAAGCACGCGCGCCAGCACGGUCGAGCAGCACUUCUAUAUUGACAAAGGCGGAGUAAAGCCCGUCGAUCAGAGGAAGUACAGCACGAUUUCCACAUCACGACCCUCCUCUAGUUCCAGUUUGUGCUGCGUCAUUUCCGUUCUUCUCUCCUGUAUUAUGAUUGGUUGGAGCGAAUCGAGACAAGACUUUAUUGCUUGACACAGGACCAAUAGAAACGAAUGGUUUAAAAGUAUAUGCUCAUGCUCAGACAAUGUAACGGACAUACUUUUUCAUAAACCUGUGUUAGUUAGGUUCACGCAUUUUAACAGCAUUUUUUCUAUAAACGUACCACAACACUAUAUGUUACCCAGUGCACUUACUCUUGAAUGGCGUUUAUAUGCCCAGCAUUAACCCAUGGUGCAAAUAUGUCCCGGUGUGCAAAUAUACACAGGUGGACACAUUUCGGGUAUUUUUGGACGCGUUUAUAUGGCAAAUGUGAAAAAUGGAUAUCAUGAAAAUAAUGCAAACUGUUUGUGCUGAAAAGUGUGUUAAACAUAAUGGAAAAGCUAUUACUAAUAUAUGAAUGGAAUAUACUUGCUUGUACGCGAUAUUGUCUUGCAGUUCAUUUGUGAUACCAAUAAAGAAAUGUGUUAGUCUUUUGAAGCAAAUAUUGUCAAACUGUCAGAAAACAUUUAAAGGGUACGAGUUCGAUAUUCGCUAUUUAAUUCUAAAACAAAAUAAGAAUCAAGCAUGUGUUUAAAGUUGAUAACUACAAAGAAUCCGCUGAACAUGUGUGAGUAGGUGACCAAUACCUACACAAAUCAUCUAAACACGCAUUGCUUUGAUACAUAGUACCAAAAGUAAAUUGACAGGUUCAAUCUUCUCUGGGCAGCAUGCCUUCUAACCAAAUUACACUUCAUAAUGACCUGUUAAUAUCGUUCUGCUUCCGCGCAAUAUUAGGAUUAUUGAUUUAUGUUUAAACUUUGAACUUCUGGGAUUGUUUCUGAAGGUUUUCUUUUAAGUAUUAUAAUCAAUGGGACUGGAAAUUGCAGUCACUUCAACGUCCUGUCUCCUUUCACCCUUACAUACACUUUGAAUCGAAAACGGAGACACACGGCGGGGUCAAGUCAUUAUUUAGCCAGUGGGCGCGGGUUGACCAACACUAAACCAACCUCAACAAAUUUCAGAGGGUUCACUGGUUAGCUGUAGAAUCAUUGAGCCGGCUUGUUUACAACAUUUUAUAAUCUAAUAAAUACUCUCUACGACUGGUAAUUUCUCGAAAUUGUUUUUUUUUUCGUUUAUAUAUACAAUUCAUUCAAUUUUGCAUUUUUAUUUCAUAAUGUCUGUAGAAUUUGUUUAUUCGUGACGCUUGAAUAAAUGAACACAACUUU